rnacentral:sRNA from 1 species
GCCGGGCAUGGUGGCGCAUGCCUACUGUAAUCCCAGCAACUCGGAAGGCUGGGGCAGGAGGAUCACAAGUUCGAGGCCAGCCUCAGCAACUUGGUGAGCCCCCGUCUCCC